rnacentral:rRNA from 1 species
UACGGAGGGUGCGAGCGUUAAUCGGAAUAACUGGGCGUAAAGGGCGCGCAGGCGGGCAUGUAAGUGAGAUGUGAAAUCCCCGGGCUUAACCUGGGAAUAGCAUUUCAGACUGGGAGGCUAGAGUACGGUAGGGGGGGAUAGAAUUCCACGUGUAGCGGUGAAAUGCGUAGAGAUGUGGAGGAAUACCGAAGGCGAAGGCAGCCCCUUGGGCAUGUACUGACGCUCAUGUGCGAAAGCGUGGGGAGCAAACAGG